rnacentral:rRNA from 1 species
UACGUAGGGUGCAAGCGUUGUCCGGAAUUAUUGGGCGUAAAGAGCUUGUAGGUGGUUUGUCGCGUCUGCUGUGAAAAUCCGAGGCUCAACCUCGGACUUGCAGUGGGUACGGGCAGACUAGAGUGUGGUAGGGGAGACUGGAAUUCCUGGUGUAGCGGUGGAAUGCGCAGAUAUCAGGAGGAACACCGAUGGCGAAGGCAGGUCUCUGGGCCAGCACUGACACUGAAGCACGAAAGCGUGGGGAGCAAACAGG